rnacentral:rRNA from 1 species
CUUGCUCCCUGAUAUUAGCGGCGGACGGGUGAGUAACACGUGGGCAACCUGCCCUGCAGAUGGGGAUAACUCCGGGAAACCGGGGCUAAUACCGAAUAAUCGGUUCUUCCGCAUGGAAGAACUCUGAAAGACGGUUUCGGCUGUCACUGCAGGAUGGGCCCGCGGCGCAUUAGCUAGUUGGUGGGGUAACGGCCUACCAAGGCGACGAUGCGUAGCCGACCUGAGAGGGUGAUCGGCCACACUGGGACUGAGACACGGCCCAGACUCCUACGGGAGGCAGCAGUAGGGAAUCUUCCACAAUGGACGAAAGUCUGAUGGAGCAACGCCGCGUGAGCGAAGAAGGUUUUCGGAUCGUAAAGCUCUGUUGCGAGGGAAGAACAAGUACGAGAGUAACUGCUCGUACCUUGACGGUACCUCGUUAGAAAGCCACGGCUAACUACGUGCCAGCAGCCGCGGUAAUACGUAGGUGGCAAGCGUUGUCCGGAAUUAUUGGGCGUAAAGCGCGCGCAGGCGGUCCUUUAAGUCUGAUGUGAAAGCCCACGGCUCAACCGUGGAGGGUCAUUGGAAACUGGAGGACUUGAGUACAGAAGAGGAAAGCGGAAUUCCACGUGUAGCGGUGAAAUGCGUAGAGAU